rnacentral:rRNA from 1 species
AUACGUAGGGAGCGAGCGUUGUCCGGAAUUACUGGGUGUAAAGGGAGCGUAGGCGGGAGUGCAAGUCAGAUGUGAAAUACAUGGGCUCAACCCAUGGGCUGCAUUUGAAACUGCAUUUCUUGAGUGAAGUAGAGGUAAGCGGAAUUCCUGGUGUAGCGGUGAAAUGCGUAGAUAUCAGGAGGAACACCGGUGGCGAAGGCGGCUUACUUGGCUUUUACUGACGCUGAGGCUCGAAAGCGUGGGGAGCAAACAGGAUUAGAUACCCUGGUAGUCCGCGCUGUAAACGAUGAUUACUAGGUGUGGGGGGACUGACCCCUUCCGUUCCGCAGUUAACACAAUAAGUAAUCCACCUGGGGAGUACGGCCGCAAGGUUGAAACUCAAAUGAAUUGACGGGG